rnacentral:misc_RNA from 1 species
GUAUAGAUUUUAUAUUUAAAGACUCGCCGUCCUCAAUUGACAUUCAUUAAACUUUAAAGGGGUGUAGUAAAUACAUAGGCCAAAUUUCUCGGCCUACAAUUGGUGCACAAAUGGGGGGUAAAGAUGAAUGAAGAAAAGAAGAGCCGUGCACGAUGCCUCCGAAGAGACCAGCGACAAACUCCGCCUCUCAGUUUAAUUCAUUAAUGAUCCUUCCGCAGGUUCACCUACGGAAA